GUCUUCCAAUUGAACUGCUAUUUGAGAGAUCAGAGUCAAGUUGCUUUACAUUUUCAAAAUUUUUAUAUUUCCUAAAUAAUGUAGUCCAAUUCUUUCAGCCUUCAAAACAUUCUUCUAGAUGCCUCUGGAACGAUGACAGGUCACAGCCCACAGGAUUCUUGACA